GACGUAGGGCGCGAGCGUUGUCCGGAUUUACUGGGCGUAAAGGGCGCGUAGGCGGCCACCGCAAGUCGACUGUGAAAUCUCCGGGCUUAACCCGGAAAGGUCAGCCGAUACUGCGGGGCUAGAGUGCAGAAGGGGCAACUGGAAUUCUCGGUGUAGCGGUGAAAUGCGUAGAUAUCGAGAGGAACACCUGCGGCGAAGGCGGGUUGCUGGGCUGACACUGACGCUGAGGCGCGAAAGCUAGGGGAGCGAACGGG
rnacentral:rRNA from 1 species